rnacentral:lncRNA from 1 species
UUGUUCCCGGAAAGUGAGCAAAGUUUUAUCAGUUUGUAAUUUGCAUUUUAUUUUAGUAUUUUGAAUUCGAGUGAGAGACAGGAGGAGAAAGAGAGGGUUUGUUUUUGUGAUGGAUGGUUGGAGACUUUCAUAUGUAAAUUUGCAAAGACUUUGUAUGGUUUGUCAUUAAUCAAAUAACUCAUUUUUUCUCACAUACUUGUCGUCUCGUAAAAACUCUAAAAUAUGCAUUGGACAUAAAACAAUUUUCUUUUUCGCGUAUAUGGCGAUAGACAAUAGUUAUGUGUUUAGAUUGUUGAAACAUAGCUGGUAUCAACCACUAGCAUGGUGUUAUUAGUUUGUAGAAAGACCGGAAAUUACAUGUUUUAUAUAUAUUUGGUGCUAAAGUAAAUUAUUUUUGAAAAACUUUGGUCGGCGAAAUUAUGUGUUUGUUCUUUUCUCUUUUGGAAUUAGCGAAGGAUGGCCGUUUGCGAGUAGACGAAGUUUCAGAACGGAGAAAACAGUCAUGGCCGUCUCAAAAUCAAAAAUUUUGUUUAUUGUUUUUCUAGUAUAAAGUUUCUUGGUAAACGUACGGUUUUUAAUCUCUAGAAGUAGAAGGUUCGUGUGAUGCCUCUCAUCACAUGUUGUCUAUGUGCAUGUGUUUGUUCCUUCUGUGUUUGGUUGAUUUUGAAGCUCGUACGACUACGAUCGAGUAAUUGGACAGAUUGCGUUCUGCAUGUGACUGUGAGUUCCUCUGUACGUGGACCGGGUUCAUUUGUCACGCUAUAAUUGGCGAAUACAUAAUAACUGAAACUAUGUUUGGAUAUUUCGGAGUACUAAAACAUGCAUGUGUCCUGGUUUCUUAACCGAAGAAAAUAAAUUAAGUCUAGAUCAAAGGAGUGUAGUGCCUUUCAAAUGAUUUCAUUGAAAUCUUCCUUGAUAUGGGACAUAGAUGUUUUGAGUGAGUAAUCAGAGUAUCUUCUUAUAAUUAAAAGAGAAGUACAAAUUGAAAAUUUGUCAAAUUUAACCUUUAAAUCAUUGAAAUUGAUUUCAAUUUGGCAUAAAGGAGACACAUUAUUGAAAUCGAUUAGGGGUAAUUUUGGCAAAAGAAAAAGAAACAAAAAAAAUCAGUCUAGGAUCCGCGUGCUUUAGACGCCCGCCCAAGAAAAUCAUUGGAUCUUCUCCUUCGUUUAUUGACCCGGAGUCCUGAACACAGAGUUUUGUUAUGUCAAAUAUAUUAAUGGACAUUAAAAACCCAUGAAAAUAUUUAUUAAGGUUAUAAGGCCCACUAAAAUCAAUAGUAAGUUCAUUUCAGUACAGAAAAGUUUCAACCCAUCAUACGCUUUUGUGUUUUGUUAGUUUUAUGAAAUACUAAUAUUCAUACAUUUAUGACCAUCUUAAAUAUCAAUUUCGUAAAUCAAUAAUUUUUUAUCAAUCACAUCAAUUUCGCCCAAAUCAAUGUACUGAUUAUUUGCAUACCACUAAUCUGUACUUAUGAUCAUAUUCCAAAAAUGAGCAGCCUUAAUAUUCUUAUUAUCUAUAAAUAUCACUCUACCUACAAUCGAUCCCUUCAAUCAUCGAGCUAUUACCUCAUUUUUUCAUAUUCUUUUUAGUUCAUUACAGACGUGAUACCCUACAAGACAAGUGCAGUCCUGCAAAACCUGAAAAGCAUACACAACAAGUUUUGGUGAGAUGAGUUUAUAGAAAUAAUAGAAUGAUUUUUUUAUUCUAAAUACUCACAAGUCUUUUUACAGGUACAAUCACAGUGUGUCCGACGGGUUAAAUAUCACUUUGUAAACUUUUUUAAACUCAUCAAUACUAAAAGAAUCAGGAUUACUAUCUCCAUUUCCCCCAAGAAGACAAUUUAAUCAGUUUUUGAGAUGAUUGAGGUAAAGCUAUUCUUAAACCCAUGAUAAUAUUAUCAAAAGUUAUUAGAAAGAUUAAUGUAUUUUCUGUUCAUUGAACUAUUUCAAGAUAUUUAACUAACACAAGAAUAUGUAUUAAUCUGAAUUCUAUUUUGACGAAUGAUAGGGUACUUCCGUUAUAAAAUCUAAAAAUCUUAUGUCAAAAUUCUUCUUUUUUUUUAAUUCUUUUUUUUUUUUUUUUUNNNNNNNNNNUUUUUUUUUUUUUUUUUUUUGUAAACAGAAACACAGUAUCAAAUCUCAAAAACAGAAGAUCCGCUUUUGCUAAUGCAUCAGCCUUUGCGUUCUCAGUACGAGGUACAAAAUGGAAGGAAAUAGAAAUAAAUAAGGUUCUGAGGAGUUUGAUGUUCUUAAUUAUGUUAGAAAAUUAUCGAUUGUAAAGUUUGUUUCGUUAAACUUCAUAAAGGUUAAGAACUAACCAUUACAUCUCUAGCUCCUUGCAUCAUAAAAAAAUAAAUUUAGUAUACAAUAACAAAAUCUAUAUUGUAUUCGUUCUCUUAUCAAUUGAAUCUGAUUAAAAAAGAAUUAAUUAUUUUAAGUAACUCUAUAAGAAACAAGAAGGAUUUCUAUGAAUUAAGAACUAGAUUUUACCAAAAUUAAUAGAUGCGUUCAAAAAAAGUUAAAAUUUUGGAAAGAUGAAUUACCUCGAUGUCAAGACAUCUGUAUGUUAGCAUUUAAAACAGAAGUUGAUUUGGUUUAAAUAUUCUUACCAAUCUCUUUGACAAGACUCUCGGUUUGUCAUAUGAUUAGGUACAUUUUUUUUACUAUUACACCUAUUAACUUAGAUUAAUCAAAUUUAACAUAAUAUAAAUUAAAUUGCACGUAAAAAAAAUAUCACCACAACAACAAAAAUCAUUAAACUCAUAUAUUUAAAAUAUAUAGUUUUAAAAAUGACUUUAAAAAGUAAAAAUGUAAAUUAAACACUUAAGAUAGAAUUUAAUUUACAAACUAGAAAAUGAUAACAUUAAAAUAAAACUAGAAAAAUCAAUUUAUAGUAAAAAUCUAUGCAUGUCCUAUGAACUCAAGCGGGGCGGAGGAGGACAUAUUUUAUAGACCCACAAAUUCUAUAGGGUGAGCUUUUAAUCCAGCAUUAAAAAUAUUAAAUGAUCAUAUAUUAUGAAUUAUGUAAUCAUAGUUCAUGUUCUUACUCUUAAACUAAUAAUUUUAUCUGAUAAAUUCAAAUAGAAUAUUUUUUUGUGUAUACAUCAAACAAACAAAAAUACACUAACUUCCACAUAUCUCUAUACUACUGUAUCAAACAAAAAAAAAAUCUAAAAUAAUAUAUUAAUCAAUAAAUUUUAACCGAAAAUAGUACAUUUUAAGUUGUAAACUACAUAAUAAUAAUAAUAAUAAAAAUAUUUGCUAUGCUGUUGUUAGUGGUGUAGCGCAGGUCCAACCCAUUACAAUACGACACACACUUAUAAGAGUGAUGUAAAUUGUGAAAUAGAUAAAUAUAAUUCAUAAUAACAAUGAAUAAAACUAAUCAGUUUUGAAUUUACACACAAAACACCUUACGAAACGUACAUACAUAACAUCGACUACUUAAAACAAUUUGAUAAAACAAAUAUUUCCCAAAAACAUAUAUAUAAGAUAUAUAUAUCCAAUACGAGAUACAUAUCCAAUCAAAACAAAACAUAUAAGAAAAAAUAGGAUUUCCCAAAAGGAUUUAUAAAAACAAAGACCCGCGGUGUACCGCGGGUUCAAUUCUAGUAUAUAGAAGAAUGCAUGAUGUCGUUGGUGUUUAGUACCGAACGAUUAAAGCGAAUAGAACUGAACAUGCAUAGUGUUAUUUAUUUUCAACGUAUACUACUAUAGAACAUGCGUUCUAAUGCAUAUAUAUACAUAGUCAUAGCCUCAUAGGUGAAUUCAUGUGUGAGGUCAAAUGAAUGAAUAAAACUAUAAUUGUGCUUUGUAACAAAAAAAAAAAAGGAGUGUUAAAAUUAGAAAUUGUUUAGGAUGAUUGAAAUCAUUAAGCGUGAAUUGAUGAUAGCUUAAAGCGUUUUCUAUCAAAGUGAUUGAGAACUUGGGUUGCUGCAAAUUAAACCUCAAAUAAAUUAUUGUCUUGUUUUUUUUUCAUCUCUACAAUGUUGUUCAAUUUUACAACAGAAUACUACAAUCACGGUUAAAAUUUGAUAAAUAUGGUAGUUUUUUCAAUGUGUUAUGUAUCGUCUUCCUAAAUAUUCAAAUAGUUUUUGCAAUUUUUUUAAAAUAACUAAAAGUUUUAGAAAUUAUUUACAUUAAUGUUCAUGAGAAUCAGGUUAGUGGAUAAAGUAACAAUGGAAACGAUGUUAAGAUGAAUUGCACUUCUGUAAAUUGAUAGUGAUCGUGACUUCAUAUCACACUUAUUGAUAGUCAUGAUCAAAGCACCAUAGUUUCACCCCAAAAUAAUAAUCGAUCAAAAUGUAUGAUGUUUCGAUGAUCAAUAUUGAUAUCUUGGAAAUGUUCUUAAAUUUUUUAAAAGAGAAAAAAAUCUCUCAAAUAAGUUAACUAUUUUCACAAAAAUUAAGCCAUUUCCAAAGAUUUACAACCUGUGGUCUCAAAAUGCUUUGGCUGCAAUGAAAAAACCAAAGUGAAAGCUCGUGGACAAGAGACUGCCACCUAAGAAUAAGAAACGAUAAAACAAAAAUCUCAAAAACCCAAUGAGCGAAGAGAUAAAGAUUACUUGAGAGAUAACAAACGUUACUCACAAUGUCACUAUUUAAUCCAAACCUAUCUUAACGUUAUCACUCACUCUCACUCACAAGUUAGUCACACAAAAAAAAAAAAAANNNNNNNNNNNNNNNNNNNNNNNNNNNNNNNNNNNNNNNNNNNNNNNNNNNNNNNNNNNNNNNNNNNNNNNNNNNNNNNNNNNNNNNNNNNNNNNNNNNNNNNNNNNNNNNNNNNNNNNNNNNNNNNNNNNNNNNNNNNNNNNNNNNNNNNNNNNNNNNNNNNNNNNNNNNNNNNNNNNNNNNNNNNNNNNNNNNNNNNNNNNNNNNNNNNNNNNNNNNNNNNNNNNNNNNNNNNNNNNNNNNNNNNNNNNNNNNNNNNNNNNNNNNNNNNNNNNNNNNNNNNNNNNNNNNNNNNNNNNNNNNNNNNNNNNNNNNNNNNNNNNNNNNNNNNNNNNNNNNNNNNNNNNNNNNNNNNNNNNNNNNNNNNNNNNNNNNNNNNNNNNNNNNNNNNNNNNNNNNNNNNNNNNNNNNNNNNNNNNNNNNNNNNNNNNNNNNNNNNNNNNNNNNNNNNNNNNNNNNNNNNNNNNNNNNNNNNNNNNNNNNNNNNNNNNNNNNNNNNNNNNNNNNNNNNNNNNNNNNNNNNNNNNNNNNNNNNNNNNNNNNNNNNNNNNNNNNNNNNNNNNNNNNNNNNNNNNNNNNNNNNNNNNNNNNNNNNNNNNNNNNNNNNNNNNNNNNNNNNNNNNNNNNNNNNNNNNNNNNNNNNNNNNNNNNNNNNNNNNNNNNNNNNNNNNNNNNNNNNNNNNNNNNNNNNNNNNNNNNNNNNNNNNNNNNNNNNNNNNNNNNNNNNNNNNNNNNNNNNNNNNNNNNNNNNNNNNNNNNNNNNNNNNNNNNNNNNNNNNNNNNNNNNNNNNNNNNNNNNNNNNNNNNNNNNNNNNNNNNNNNNNNNNNNNNNNNNNNNNNNNNNNNNNNNNUUUGUUCCCGGAAAGUGAGCAAAGUUUUAUCAGUUUGUAAUUUGCAUUUUUUCAGUCUUUUGAAUUCGAGUGAGAGUGAGAGGGCAGAAGGAGAAAGAGCAGGGUUUGUGUUUGUGAUGGAUGGUUUGAGACUUUCAGAUGUAAAUUUGCAAAGACUUCGUAUGAUUGAUCAUUAACUCAAAUAACUCAUUUUUCUCUCAUAUUCUUCUCGUAAUAUUUCAAAAUCUGAACUGGACUUAUAUUCUUCGAUUCACUCUAUUGAAGAGGCUAUUUCUACAAUUGCACAAUUGAUUACAAAUACAUGACACGAGUUUAAGCCAAUGGGCAAAUGAUCUGAUAUCCUGAUACAAAGCAAGGAAGGACAUACUGAUAAAUUUAAAACUAUGCUGCAUCUCGAAAAUGGACCUUUGAGGAUUAUUGAUAGAAAUGCUUAUGGUAAACAAAAUCCGUUGAAAUUUAGUCGACAUCGUAAAAGUUCCACACAAGCGAUCAAACAUAUAAAUUAAAAACUAACUCAGACGGGCAAAGAAGAUACAUCCUUUACCUCAAAGAAGUCCUGUAGAGCGGUCAUUUUAAUGGCACUUGACUUCAAGCUCUUGAUUCCCUCGGCAGUCGCUAACGCUCCAGCCACUGUGGUUAUAACAGGGACCUUGUAGGCUAGAGCCAUUUGUCUGAGCUCUCUCCCAUCUUUCUGGUCAAGAGCAUCUCCCGAGCUUGUGAUCAACAUCAACUGGAUCUGACCAUUAGCCACCAUAUCAGCAGCAUGUGGUCUUCCUUCAUGCAACUUCAGCACUUUCUCCACGGCAAUGCCUUUCAGGUCCAGAAAAUGAGCUGUUCCCGAGGUGGCAACGAUCUUGAACCCGAGCUCGAGGAAGGACACCGCGAUUUUCUCUAGGUGCGAUUUGGUCAUAUCGUUUAAGCUGAGGAAGACUGUCCCGGUUAAAGGUAGCUUUUGACCUGCAGCGAUCUGAGCCAUUGCAAACGCACUUGAAAAUUCAGAACUGAUGCUCAUCACUUCUCCUGUGCUUCUCAUCUCUGGCCCGAGUAUCACAUCACAUCCUUGGAACUUCUCAAAUGGGAAAACAGCUUCUUUGACAGAGAUGUGUUUAGGGAUGACUUCUUUUUCAAAGUUAAUGUCUUUGAGAGAUUUGCCUGACAUGACCAGUGCAGCAUACUUGGCAAGCGGAUGUCCAAUGGCUUUCGAGACAAAAGGGACAGUACGGGAAGCUCGGGGAUUGGCUUCAAGCAAGAAAACAUCCCCAGAUGUCGUGAUUGCAUACUGACAAUUCAUCAGCCCACAUACAUUUAGCUUCUUCGCCAGCUUAGUGGUCCAUGAACGGAUAGUUUGUAAACAAGAAGAUGGGAUAGUUUGUGUUGGAAGCAUACAGGCCGAGUCACCAGAAUGCACACCAGCUUGUUCGAUAUGCUCCAUUAUUCCACCAAUCACCACAUUUCCAUAGGAAUCAGUAAGGGUAUCAACGUCGAUCUCAAUGGCAUCAGAGAGAUAUUUAUCUACCAAAACAGGUCUCUCUGGGUCAACUUCAACCGCAUUUUCCAAAUACGUUAUUAAUCUACUGUCAUCAUAAACGAUCUCCAUUGCCCGUCCACCUAGAACAUAAGAAGGUCUUACCACAACUGGGUAGCCUACCUCCUUCGCAAUGGCUAAGGCAUCAGCUUCGCUCUUUGCAAUGCCUCCCUUGGGUUGCUCAAUUUUCAGCUCAUCAAGAAUUGCAUUAAACCUCUCUCUGUCUUCAGCAGCAUCAAUGGAGUCAGGUGAUGUACCCCAGAUGCGAACAGGUCCCUCUCCGCUCAAACUCAUGGGCAUGUGCUUAUCCAAAUAACGUUUGAUUGGGAGAGCAAGUUUCAGAGGAGUUUGACCACCAAAUUGCACUAUUAUUCCAUCAGGUUUUUCAAGAUCAAUAACAUUGAGAACAUCCUCGAUUGUGAGAGGUUCAAAGUAGAGCCUAUCGCUUGUAUCAUAAUCUGUGGAUACUGUUUCAGGAUUUGAGUUCAACAUUAUGGUCUCAUAUCCAGCAUCCUGCAAAUAUAUUUAAAUAGUCGAUAUGUAAAUUUUGCGAAACAAAGUUGAAAGAUGUGUGGCAACAACAGUAAGGCGAGAGACGCUUAGAUUGUCUAGGACUAACCUGUAAGGCGAAAGAUGUGUGGCAACAACAGUAAUCAAAUUCAAUCCCUUGACCAAUACGAUUUGGCCCUCCACCCAAAAUCAAAACCUUCUUCUUGCUGUUUGGAGCUGAUUCACAUUCAAAAUCAUACGAAGAGUACAUGUAUGGUGUAUGCGCUUCGAACUCUGCUGCACAUGUAUCAACUCUCUUGUAAGAUGGAACAACUCCUAAAGAAAUCCGCUUUGUACGGACUUCUUCUUCUGUUGUCUUUGUAGCAUAAGCGAUUUGCUUGUCACUAAAUCCCCGCUUUUUGACUUCGUAAAGGUCUUCUUUUGUAAUCUCUGACAAGGUUCCGCACAUAAGAUACUGUUCCACGUCCACAAGCUCUUUAAGCUGGGUUAGGAACCACUUGUCUACCAUGCUCAACUCGUAGAUUUCAUCAAUCUUCAUACCCUUUUUCAUGGCAGCAUAUAUCGCAUGGAUCCUGUCCGGAUUUGGGACUCUAAGGCUGUAUUUAAGCUGAUCCCAGUCCCAAUCUAGCUCUUUGAUUUUUGCACAACCCCAACCUGAGAAUCCAGACUCCAGAGACCUCAGAGCUUUCUGGAAAGAUUCUUGGAAUGUGCGGCCGAGAGCCAUAGAUUCCCCCACAGAUUUCAUCUGGGUCGUUAGCAAGGGCUGAGAUCCUGGAAACUUUUCAAAUGCGAAUCUAGGAAUCUGCAGGAUAUAAAAAAGUGUAUAGAAUAAGCAAAUUAUGCAUCGAGUUUGUAUUUCCUCAAGUGGAUAUACGUGAGUAAAUCCUGAAACUCAAGAGAGCAUCUCAUUUUGCAACACAAAAAAGAAAGCCAAAAGAAUGCACUCGAAAGAAUGACAAACCUUAGUCACCACAUAAUCGAUGGAGGGCUCGAAGCUAGCUGGUGUUUUCCUGGUGAUAUCAUUAGGAAUCUGAUCCAAGGUAUAACCAACAGACAACUUGGCUGCCAUUUUAGCAAUGGGAAAUCCUGUAGCCUUGGAAGCAAGAGCAGAAGAUCUCGAGACCCUAGGGUUCAUCUCUAUGAUCAUAACUUCACCAUCAACGGGGUUAACUGCAAACUGCACAUUAGAUCCACCACACUCAACACCAAUCUCCCUUAUAAUGGCAAUGGAAUAAUCCCUAAGCCGCUGGUACUCCCUAUCCGUAAGGGUCUGUGCAGGCGCCACAGUAAUGGAAUCACCCGUAUGCACACCCAUAGGAUCAAUGUUCUCAAUGGAACAGAUAAUGACAACAUUGUCAGCUAAGUCUCUCAUCACCUCAAGCUCAUAUUCUUUCCAACCCAACAACGACUUCUCAACAAGAACCUGACUUGUCACACUGGCAGCCAAACCGGCUUUACAAAUGGACUCAAACUCCUCUUUGUUAUAGGCAAUUCCACCACCAGUACCACCCAAAGUAAACGCAGGACGGAUAAUCAAAGGGAACUCACCAAUUCUCCCAGCAAUGUCGAAACACUCAUCAAGAGUGUUCCCAAUCCCUGAAGGUGGAGUCUUUAGCCCAAUGUUCUUCAUGGCCUGCUUAAACAAAUCACGAUCUUCAGCUUUCUUAAUAGCACCAAGCUUAGCCCCAAUCAAUUCAACACCGUAUCUCUCGAGAGCACCACUCUCAGCAAGAGCAACGGCAAGGUUCAGUGCGGUUUGGCCACCCAUGGUAGGCAACAAAGCGUCAGGCCUCUCUUUCUCAAUAACCUGCUCGACGAGCUCAGGAGUCAUGGGAGCAAUAUAGGUCCGAUUAGCAGUCUCCGGGUCAGUCAUGAUAGUAGCCGGAUUGGAAUUGAUGAGAAUGACAUCGUAACCCUCUUCCCUAAGGGCUUUACAAGCUUGAGUUCCAGAGUAAUCAAACUCGCAAGCUUGGCCAAUCACAAUGGGACCAGCACCGAGAAUCAUAAUCUUCUUCAGAUCGGUCCUUUUCCCGACGAUCUCCGGAGAAAAGGCCUUGGUAGUGGUGUCGGCGAGCUCUGAGACGGGUUUGAGAACACGAGUAACGGAGGCUUUGCGGUUGAGACAUGGGAGAAAAGUGGAGAAGGAAGAAGAAGAAGAGCCAAGCUUGGAUUUAGCUCUGUAAUUGUUGGCAGAGCGAGAGAAGAAGGUGGAAUUGGAGAGCUUGGAAGGAGAGAAGCGAGGAUGAGAUUUUGAAGAAGCGAAAAUGUUAGAAGAGAGUUCUAAGCAAUGGUUACUCAUUUCGUCUGUGUCGGCUCUCUGUUACUGGGUGAGAGACUGCAGAAGAGAGAGUAGUAAGUGAGACACCAGAAAGAGAGAGAGGGUUUUAUUUAGGGUUUCUCGGGAAUUUGGAUUAUUUCGGUUUAUUAUAUUUUUAUUAAAUUUUUUAUUUGUCCUUUUCAAAGUUUCGUGGCAUAUUGAUCUGAUUUAUAUAUCACACGUUCAACAAAAGCUUUGGGAAAAAUUUGACAACUGUAAAAGAAAGAUCAUAAAGGGUCCGAGAGUCCGACCAGAAACAAAAUACUGAAAUAGAUAUGUAAGGAAUAAAAACACUACUGUUUAGGUUAUUUGAUUGACUCAAUUAUUUACAUCACUGUUUCCCUAAUUUCCUUUUUAAAGAACAAAUGUGAUACCAUAUAUCUUUUUAUGAUUUAAACCCCUUCGAAAGUACAGUUUUAAAUGAACAUACUCAACAUAGGCAAAAGAAGAGGGCACACGAGCCUGUCAAGGGUUAAUGUGGGAUCAGGCGAAGAAUAAGACCAAAGAAAUAUAAACUAAAUGAUAUCGCAGCCAUAGCAAGGACGUUGUGGACAGAUUGGGUUUUGGUCUUUGGGUUUAUAAAACACACAUCUCUUAAAAUCCAAAUAAUUUUAAUUAGGCCCAUAAGCCCAAUAUGAUUAAUUUCAUUUAGUCGUCACAAAAUAGCAAAGCCUCUCACCACUGGAAUUAGGGUAACGCCAUUGUUGUUGGUUCUUUGUCACUCACCACCGUCCGUGACAAGAGUUAUAGCUUGUAGAGUGUCACCUUCUUCAAGCUUAGGUAACACCAUUAUCUUCCUUCGUUAAUCUUCAACGAUCUUCAGUAUCUUCCAUAGUAUCGAUUUUUGCUGUUGUUUAGCUUUCAUAUUCCUGCAAAAUGAAAUCGAAGAAGUAUCGUUUUCUUGUUUAGAUAGAGAUUUCGUUUUGUAGCUUUUUCCAAUUGUUUCAUCUUACUUGCAGCUGAGAUUUUCACUUCUAGACUAUUAGCAACUCUUAGGAUCUGUUUAGAAUUGAGUGUAGGCUUUGUUUAGCAACUGUUUUAAAAUUGCUUUGUUGAUUCUUUAUCCUAAACCAUAAGGUCUAAUGUGUAAGUGGAACCAACACCGCAUCUUCUCUACCUUUGUCUCUCUUCGCAGACAACAAAUCUUCAGUGUUCGUCGAUUCCAAACCACCACAACCCUUGGCAAACCCAUCUCCAUUGCUUCAAUUCAGAUUCCGAUGGACGCCACUGAACAAUCUCUCCGUCAAUCCCUAUCGGAGAAAUCGUCAUCUGUCGAAGCUCAGGGUAACGCCGUCCGAGCUCUCAAGGCCUCCCGUGCAGCGAAACCGGAUAUCGAUGCCGCUAUCGAGCUACUUAACAAAUUGAAGCUCGAGAAAUCCGCAGUUGAGAAGGAGCUUCAGUCCACAAUUAGUGGCUCUGGUAAUGGUUCUCUUAACCGUGAGGCCUUUCGAAAAGCUGUAGUCAACACUCUUGAGCGGCGUUUGUUCUAUAUUCCUUCGUUUAAAAUCUACAGUGGCGUCGCUGGACUUUUUGAUUAUGGUCCUCCUGGAUGUGCUAUUAAGUCCAAUGUCCUGAGCUUUUGGCGUCAAGUAAGGAACACUGUUCACAUUUCUCUGUAUUCAAAGUCAACAAGAUUUAUAGAGUAGAAUUUGAGUUAGGUUUGUUCUUACACGGGAUAGAUUUGGGUAGAAUUUGACAUGAUUGAUAGAGUAAAAAUUGUGUUAGGUUUGUUCUUAUAUGCUAUUUGAUUUGAUUUGCAGCAUUUCAUUCUUGAGGAGAACAUGCUAGAAGUUGAUUGUCCAUGUGUGACACCAGAGGUUGUUCUCAAGGCAUCGGGGCAUGUAGAUAAGUUCACUGAUCUUAUGGUUAAGGAUGAGAAAACUGGAACAUGUUACCGUGCAGACCACUUGCUCAAGGAUUAUUGCACAGAGAAGCUGGAGAAAGAUCUUACCAUCUCUGCUGAUAAAGCUGCUGAACUGAAGGAUGUUCUUGCUGUUAUGGAAGAUUUUUCUCCUGAACAGCUAGGUGCGAAAAUUAAGGAGUAUGGGAUCACUGCUCCGGACACAAAGAACCCACUUUCUGAUCCUUACCCGUUUAACUUGAUGUUUCAAACAUCCAUUGGCCCAUCUGGUCUAAUUCCUGGGUGAGUAUUUUUAAUGUUAUGAUUGUUUCUGAGCUACUUUCUUUCCUGAUUUUUUAAUAUCAAAUUACUCUUUUUUUUGUGUGUUUCAGUUACAUGCGUCCUGAAACUGCUCAAGGCAUCUUUGUGAACUUUAAGGACCUGUACUAUUACAAUGGGAAGAAACUUCCAUUUGCCGCGGCUCAAAUUGGUCAAGCCUUUAGAAAUGAGGUAAUAUAUUGCUUUCCUUGAUGUAUGGGAUGUGUUCAUCUUCUGUAAAAGACUAUUUUCUCUAUUGUGUCUGGGUUUAAAUAAGUAGCAUAUUACUCGCAGAUAUCUCCUCGUCAAGGACUUCUUAGAGUUCGUGAAUUCACGCUGGCAGAGAUUGAGCACUUCGUUGAUCCUGAAAAUAAGUCACAUCCCAAAUUUCGUGAUGUAGCAAAACUGGAAUUCCUUAUGUUCCCAAGGGAGGAACAAAUGUCUGGCCAAUCUGCAAAAAAACUUUGCCUUGGUGAAGCUGUUGCUAAGGUUAGUAUUUGUAAUAAUAGUAGCCUAUUUAAUUUUUACUAAGCUCUCUUCCACACCCAUUUUUAUAUCUUAUUGAUGCCUGCAAUUGAAAACCUAUACGUAUAGGGUACUGUGAACAAUGAAACUCUAGGAUACUUCAUUGGGAGAGUAUAUCUUUUCCUUACCCGCCUUGGCAUAGACAAGGAACGGCUGCGCUUCCGUCAGCAUCUAGCAAAUGAAAUGGCCCACUAUGCAGCAGAUUGUUGGGAUGCUGAAAUUGAGAGUUCAUAUGGGUGGAUUGAAUGUGUUGGGAUUGCAGAUAGGUCUGCCUACGACCUGCGUGCUCAUUCUGUAUGAACCUCACCUUUACUUAUAUUUUCAUCAUUUCGUUUGACAGCUAUAGAUAAUUAAUGAUCAAAAGCCGUAAGUAUUCCUAGUUAAACUCAUGUUGAUCAACUGUUGCACGACAGGACAAAAGUGGCGUUCCCCUAGUGGCUGAAGAGAAAUUUGCAGAACCUAAAGAAGUAGAGGUAUUUUAGUGAACAAAUUCAUUCGUCUCUGAUUCUUUGUCGUUAUAACUUCCCCUUAAUAAGGUUCUCUUCUAUUUCAGAAACUUGUGAUUACACCUGUGAAGAAAGAACUGGGUCUUGCAUUCAAGGGAAAUCAAAAGAAUGUGGUUGAAUCUUUGGAGGUUGAACUCUAUUGUUUACUGCAUAGCUUCUUCUACAUGGUGCUGGUUUAAAAUAAAUAUCAUGCUUAAUGUAAUAUUUUUUUUUUUAUGUUAGGCAAUGAAUGAGGAAGAAGCUAUGGAGAUGAAAGCAACCCUGGAAUCCAAAGGGGAAGUGGAGUUUUUCGUGUGUACCCUUAAGAAAAAUGUGACCAUCAAGAAGAAUAUGGUGUCAAUCUCAAAGGAGAAGAAGAAAGAACACCAGCGGGUUUUCACUCCAUCAGUGAUUGAACCAUCGUUUGGGAUUGGACGGAUCAUAUAUUGUCUGUACGAGCAUUGUUUCAGCACAAGGCCAAGCAAAGCAGGGGAUGAACAAUUGAACGUGUUCCGUUUCCCUCCUCUUGUAGCUCCCAUCAAGUGCACAGUUUUCCCGCUUGUUCAGAACCAACAAUUCGAGGAAGCAGCCAGAGUUAUUUCUAAGGAACUGGCUUCUGUUGGUAUCUCACAUAAGAUUGACAUCACUGGUACGUAAAAACAAUUUGAGAAACGAAGGUUUUUUUUUAUAACUAUUGAAAUGGACAAACUGAGUGAAGAUUUGUGUCUGUGUGUGAAUGUGAAUAGGUACGUCGAUAGGGAAGAGAUAUGCAAGAACCGAUGAGCUUGGAGUGCCAUUUGCAAUAACAGUGGACUCAGAGACAUCAGUGACAAUCAGAGAAAGAGACAGCAAAGAUCAAAUCCGAGUCAGUUUGAAGGAGGCAGCGUCCGUUGUGAGCUCAGUCGCAGAGGGGAAGAUGACAUGGCAAGACGUGUGGGCAAGCUUCCCACACCACUCUUCUGCUGCAGCAGACGAGUAGCUAGCUCUUUCAAUCACCAUGACCAUAAUCCUUACUCGUGUUUUUCUUUUUUACAUUUCGAACUAAAGAGGGAAUUUUAAGUUCAACAAACCAUCAUUGAAUGAUUUGGCUGUAAUGCAUACACAUCACUUCUGGGGUAGAACUUAAAACUCAUGUUCUGCAUAUAUGCAUGUCACUUUUGUAUAAACAAGGUCCUUUUAAUUGCGGUCUUUGUCAAAAGAAAAAAUGAAAAGAAACUCUUGUUAAUGUUUGGGUUGAAGUCUGAAGAAAUCGAUGAUUCAGGGGUGAAGUCGUUUUCGUUAAUGUAACCGCGAGUCAACAAUUUCUGCAUUUCCACCAUCGACCAAAAAAAGAAAAGAAAGUGAAGACUUUAAAACCAAAUUAAAAACAUACGUUACCAAACUUUGUUGUCCAAUAAUGAAAUCAUCAUGCAUAAUCAGAAUAGACGAACCAAAUGCUAAUUAAUACCAAAUUUACGAAGACGACGAAAUACACUAAAACAUGUAUGCAUACCUCUAAUUAGAGACGUUCAUAAAGUUUUAACUCUUACAAGAAUGACGAAUCAAAAGUCCAAAUAAUUAGUAGUAGGUUGUCAAUUUGUCAUCAGUGAAAUAUAUAUAUAUAUAUACAUGCAUAUAAAGAUAAAAUAUCAGAAAUACCUAAGAAUCUACUCAUAUAUAGUACUAAAUUAUUUAUGUUUUACAAAAAUUAUAGUGUAAUCAUGAUCAUAAAGCUUAGAACUAUAUAUAGUACAUGCCCUCUCUCAACUCAAGAUUCGUGCUUCGAGAACAUUGAAGGAACAAUGUCCUGAAGAAGACCAAAGUCAACACCCGCAGGUUGAUGAUUAUUAUUAUUGUAACUAGUAAUCAUCCCAUGACCAUGAUCGUUCGACAUAGAUCCCACUGAUGAUAGAUAAUUGGCAGGAGGAUGUUUCAUCAUGAGAAACUCUUGACGGUGAUGAAGAGGGAAGCUAUGGAGGAAACUGCUUCCACCACCACGGUGACCUAAUAGAUGUUCAGCGGCCACGGUUCCUCUCAACGUCGAAGGGAUCGGAUGGUUGUGUUUUCCUUCGUAUGUUGUUAUUACGAUCGACGGAUCUUGAAACGAUCUUUCUACACGUUUUUUUACGUUGCACUUCUGUGUUGUGCACCUAUAGUAACUCCUGUAAGCGCAUAUAUACAUAGAUAUAUAUUAUGAUAUGAUGAUCUAUAAAUAUAUGUAUACUCGUAAGUCGUAACAUGUAAAUGCAAGGACAACGUAAAUAAAAUGUAUGUGGUAGUGAGGAAGGGAACCUUGGAUAAGGGCUGUUCUUGACGGCCUUUUGUCCAUAUUUUCUCCAUCUAUAGCCAUCUUCAAGAUGAUCAAUCUCGCUUUUGGUCAUAAAUGCAACUUUAGCUUCUCUCUCUUUCUUCUCUCCUUUCUUUUUACCUUGUUUUGUCCUGACCAUACUCAUCAUCCACCAACAAAAUAUCAAUCUCUAGGGUUUUAACUUUGUAAAAAGUUUUAAUUCUUUUAUCAAGUGAUUGUUGAUGAUUUUCGUAAGCUUGAUCACAUUAUAUUAUCUGUCUUUUGGUUCAGCAAAUCUAGUUACGCAAAAAGAAGAAAAGAAAUAUGCGAGAGGAAGAGUGAAAGAAAUGUAAAAGGUUGAAAAAGCACUCACACUUGCUUGGAACUUUCACGAACACCAACACCAUGUUGGUCUCCUUCGUUAUCCUCAUUGGGGUUCUCUUUAGGAUCGGCUUCAUUAGAGGAAGAUGAGACCAUAGGAGAAUUCGAACUAAGAUUUAAGUAAGGGUUGUUUACUAUAUGGCCUAUAUUGGAAGGUGAAACCGGUUGAAAAGGGGAACCAUAAGGUGGGAAUUUAAAACCCUUCUCUAGAGAGUUAUAAUCCAUCACUAAUGAGCUUUGUAAGCAAUCGGUUAUACUCGUGAAUGACACUUCUUCUAAAUAUGUGUUCUUGCUCUCAACAUGAUCAUCCAUUGAUGAAGAGACGGAGAAAAAGAAGAAGAGGAAGAGACAUGGUUCUUCAAACUUAGGUGUUAGGUUAUAUGUGGACUUUGGGUGAUCAAGUCUUAUAAAUACAAGUCCAUUCAACUUUACUUCGAUGGUAUCUUUAAUUUAGUUCUGAAUAUUCAAUUACGGUCUUAAUUAUAUGUUUUUGGAGCGAUAUCAUUUGGAGAGCAUACAUAUAUGUAUAUUGGUCUUAAGAUAAUUAAAAUAGUUUCUCCAACACAUAAUUAAUUAUAUAAUAAACAAAAAUACCGAAUUAUAAUAUUAAUGUACGUAAUUUGAAAUUAUAGUCUCGCUACAAUGUGAAAUACAUAAUAAUUUGAAAGAAUUCAAGAGGGAGCUAGAUAUUGGAAAGUUUAAAAGGGUCAUAAUCUUUAAAGACUUUAGUGGGUAUAAUAUUUUGCUAAAAUAUCUUUGUGUAUGUGAAAAAGAUAGGUUUGAAAAUUUCAACUUAAAAUUUAAUUAGCUAGAGAGCUAUCUAACAAAAAAGUGGUUUCUAUAAAGGAAACAUUUAACUAUAUAUUUCUCUCUAAUCCUAUCUACCACACUAUGCUUUGGCUUUCUUUCCUUUCAAUCGUUUUGUUCUCUCUUUAUUUGUAAACUUAUGAUAUAUAUAAAUUAAAUCGAUCAAAUGAAUCAAUCAACGAUAUCUUUCGUAAAAUGGAAUCCAUAUCCAUAUACAUUAAUAAGGUUUAGUACAAAAAUCACACGCACGGUACAUGCAUGUAGAAUUUGAUGUCUAAAUAUAUGUGUAAUGCACAUAUGAUUAGAUGAUUUUUUUUUUUUUUUUUUUUUUUGUGUGUGCAAAUGAUUGGAUUUGUAAGAAGUAUAUUUACGUAGCUAGAAGUCCUAGUGAGGAAUAUUAAAAAUAAAGAUAAAUAGCUAGAGGUCAAAUGUAUAAAGGCAAUGUAGACAAUUUACAUCUACUUCCAACAUCUUUGCACUCGUCAAAAGCAAACUUUCUUGGUGAAUUAUAACGAAUCAUAUAUUAAUAUGCAUAAACACACACAAAAAGUCUCCAUUUUGUGUCUCUCUAGAAACCCUUUAUAUUGGGGGUUAAUUAUUACAAAUAACCUCCAUAAAAAGAAAAGAUAGCUAAUCUCUUUCAUAUUUAAAUAAGUGUUCUACCAAAGAGAUAAGGGUUUAUUUAAGUUAGAAAUUAAAUAAAUAUACCCCUUGCUUUUGGAGCUACAUUAUUGUUGUUGAUUCAAAGUCAGCGAAGACCAACUUGUCUUGUGAACAGUCAACGUCCUUCAAAGCAAGAACUUCACUUUCUUCAUUAUAUAUAUACUUCAACAAGACAAGUCUUAAACAUUAAUCUUAUCCUGAUAAAGUAUGUAGAAAACGAAUCUAUGAUUGGAUCAAAUAAUAGCAAGUAACAUUCUUAUACGCAAAUGAUUGGACCAAAACAUUAAUUAUAAUACUCUUAGCAUUAUUUGAGAUUCGGAACACAAUAAUAUACUAACCAUAUGAUAUAUAACAUUUCUAUAAAUUGUUAGAAACGUAAAAGGAAAAGAAGAGACGUAUAACGUGGAAGGAAAUGGCAAUGUCUUUGACCAUUAAGGUCAGCAAAGUCGUGCAUGUUACUUGCUCUUCCUUUUUUCUUUUUCUUUAAUGUCUUUGAUGAAUGAUCCAUAAUGACCAAAGCCCUAUGUCAUGUUAUGUAUUUGGUCCUUAAAUUCUUUUUUUUUUUUUUUUUUNNNNNNNNNNUUUUUUUUUUUUUUUUUUUUUAAUGUAUUUGGUCCUUGGUUUCUUAAUUAAAGUCUAUAAUUGCCGCUUUGAUAUUUAAUAAUCACUAUAGUAGUGAUGCAUACUUUAAAGUCUUGAUUGUAUUUUUAAUCACUAUGUGAGAGGUCGAAUUGAAGUGUUCGAACACACUAAUCACAUUCGUGUUGUUAUAAUUGUUUAAGUACAAGUAUAAGUAACUAACCUUAAAAAGGGUUAAACCCAAAGUAUAUAGCAUUCUUUUACACAAAAGUGUUCAGGUGGGAACAGGUUCCACUUCUUUGGAUGAAGGAGCCAAAAAAAAGCAUUCGUUCAUUAGCUUUUCGUUUUGUCAAUUAAAGCACUAUAAUCGGAGUUUUGUGUACGUACGUACGUACGUAGCAUUUCUAGUUACUUUUGUCGAUUACUUGAUUAUGACAGAACCAAAGGUGUUUGAUUAGUCAAUUAGACGUUUGGGCUUAUUUAGUUAUUAUCUUUCUUUCUAGAAAACUUUUAAUCUAAAAAUUCAUAAUAGAUUAUCAUAAUAAAAUUCAAAAAUAGUACGAGAUUAAUUCAUAGGUAUAAAAAUUUUGUGGAGACACUUGCACCGUUGUUGUCGCUUUCUCUUCACCCGUUGACUAUUAUCAUAAAGGAUUUUACAUAUAAAUUCAUAUUAUUAGUUCUGAGUUCUAAUCUGUUUUAUAGACAAACAUUUGUAUUUAAUUAUAGGGAAAAUAACUAAUCUAUCAAAUGAAUCACUAAAUACAUAUUAUUUUUUUAAAUUGUCUAUGUAUGUCGUGUGAUAUAUUUAGUUUCACAAGUAGAUGUACGUAAAUAGAGCUCUAUCGUUUCAAAACUAUACAGUAUCAGUUUCAAUUAUAUAACUAAAAAAAAAA